rnacentral:lncRNA from 1 species
UAUGAGGAAGAGAAUAAAGAUUCCUCGUUGAUGUCUUCUGCCCGUAUUAUAUGGGAGAAAAUCAAUAUGGUGUAUGGGAGUUACUACUGUGUCUGUUACCUAGCUAGCUUGGCAUCCGCUUCGGUGUCGGGGAUUGAGGAAGGCUCCCUGCUGCUUAAUGAGCUAGCCUUCGUCGUUAAAUAAAACGUCUGAAAUAUGCAUUUACUAGUACUGUAACGCUGCAGUUCUCUCCUGCGUCCAACAGAGCUGGGGUUGGCUUCUGAUUCAUGGUGUGGAGUCUUCGACGAUGUGGGGCGCGGCGUACUGAUCGGACCUGUUGAUGAAGGCCCUGCCAUUUUUCUCUUGUAUUGUUUCUUAGUCUUUUGUUCAGGGGUUGAAAGUUGUAACAAGCAGGGUGUGCUCUGUACAACAGAGGUGUCAGCACUCUAUCGCUGUUUAUGCCUAAAAUGCCUGUAUAAUAUGAUGGGGCUUCUGGCCCCUUCCGUUGGGAAAAAAAAUUAUAGGAACCAGGUGGGUCCUUUUCUCUCGAUGCGAGAGCUAUCAGAUGCAUUACCUGCCGCUAGUAGCACAGUUUAUCAUUUAUUCUCCAGGAUGUUAUUGUCGGGUAACACGGCAUGCUACGCAUCCAUGCAAAUCAAAAAGUACUACGAAAACGUGGAAUACUUGCACAAAAAGUACUACGAAAACGUGGAAUACUUGCACAGGGCAACGGAAGAUUUAAUUUUGUUAAAGGCAUAGGGGUUUCAGGCUCCUAAAAUUUUAACUUUUAAAAACUAAACCUUCUAAAAGUUCGUAAAAAAACUGUUUGGUUCCACCUCCUAAAACUAACUAAAGACAAUAAAUAUUAUGGCAACCGAAACCAUGUUGCCCUUUCCCCCUGCCCCUACUACCCCUGCACACAGAAAACAUCAUCCCUUCUUGUGCCACCGCUUUCGCUGCAGAGGCCGCCUCUCACCCUUGCCUCUACCUCACGCUCGACGGCAGAGCGCCACUCCUCACCAACUCAGCCUUACUGUGCUGCUAGCGCUCGUGGGAGGCAGUGGUUGCCUCCCCGUCCAGCCUCCUGCGGCGCCUCGACGUUGGCGUCAGUGGCUGUUGGAGGGCGCGGACGGCGAGCGCGAUGCCCCAGAAGAAGUGCUUCCCCCCAGAAGCAGAGGACGCUGACGAUGUAGUAUGUGGUGAGGCAGUGGACCUUGCCGCCGUCCUUCCUCCAUGCCGCAGCACCGUAGAACUUCCAGUACGUCUCGGUGAGCUCGGAUGCCGGCACGGAUGGGUCCUCGGAGCGGUAGACGGAGGGCGGCGGCGGCGCGGGCGCGGGGUCCGGGGAGCCCGCCGCAGGGGUGCUGCCCCAUGGCUCCACGGUGAGGUUGGCGUAGCGGCCGAUGUUGAAGUGGUCGGCCUAGCGAAGCGGUUGAGGCCGAAGAGCGCGAUUGGCGCAUCACGUGGGAGAGGAGAUCCCGGCGGGUGGCGGCAGCGGGGAUCUGGCGGGGGAGCGCCUGGCCGGUGGUUCUUGGCCGCAGAUCUAGCGGCGGCGGGGUGGGCGCAAACGGAGUGCACGGGGCGAACGGGUAAGGCGCGGGGGUGGGGACGCGUGCCGUCGGGAGGGGUAGCGGGGGUCGAGGAUGGAGUCUAGGAUGUCUUAGGAGGGGUUGUCCUAAAACUUUUUAGGAGGUUCUAGGAGAUGUGUUUGAUUCUCCUAACAUUUUUAGGAGGUGGAACCAAAUAGGAUCGUAGUAUAGCUAGCUGAUAGUCCAUAUUGGUGAAGUUACUGUACUCGUAUGGGAAACGACGACCCUUCUAAGUGUGCAAACCCACGAUAACAUGCACCGACCCUAGAGGUUGGCAAGAACCACUAUCGAAGAAACGUGUUUUUAGUACGGGCAGGACCUCUGUUUAGUAUCGGAUUCAAGACCGGUACCGUGAAGUGAAUACAAUACUAAAAGUAUUGAGCAUUUAUACCGGGUCUCCCAUGGGAUACUAAAGCAUAAGGAUUUUGCAGCCAAAAAAAUAUUUCAAACCACAGGGAGGGUGUCAUGCAUGAAAUAUAUGCGUGCACGGUGCAGGGUACAUUUCUUACCAUCUCACCUGCAUAGCAAAUGCGAUUGAGGAAGAGAUACUUUCCUUUUGAAGUAUUCAAAAUUAUUUCAAGUUCUGUUAACACACGUACCGGUUGGCAAUUAUAUGAAAACAAAAAUGGUAUGAAUGCCAACAACAAAAGCAACUUUGAAUGUUUAUUCUAUAGGUUUACCGGCAUACUUACAUAGAAUUAAAACCACAUGCACAUGAUGGUAAUUAGUACAAUACACGUGCUGCCUUAGAUACAGUGAUGACAUUAGGUUGCCCUAAGGUAUAGCUAUAAAGUUUAUGUGGAUGUUCCUUUAAUAUUCUGAGUGAAAAUUUACAUAUAACCAUCCAUAGCAACAAUAAACAAAUGCAUCACAAAAGCAAGAGAAAAACAAAGACAACCUAAGACGAAGGCAUAACUAAAAUUUUAGGGCAAAAUAUCACUCACCAAACCUUUAAGUCGUCGUUGACUACGAAUCAACGUAAUUGGACCCAGCUAUUCUUUUCGAAAGACAUACGGUAUUUGUCCUGAAAUGGGCACAGGGUGCAACGUCCCAGGAGGUCCAAAACCCAGACCCCCGACCAUUCCGCCCGGAGUAGAUGGUUCUCCUCCACGCGGUUCUUCAGGAUUUCGUGUAAUAUGGAAGAAAAUCAAAGGUGUAUGGCGGAAAAUACUCAUUCGUCCUCCUAUACGAAAAUGACUUCCCUGCAGCCGCACCCCUUGAACCAUCGUUGAUGUCUUCUGCCCGUGUUAUAUGGGAGAAAAUCAAUGGUGUAUAGGAGUUACUACUGUGUCUGAUACCUAGCUAGCUUGGCAUCCGCUUGGUGUCGGGGAUUGAGGAAGGCCCCUGCUGCUUAAUGAGCUAGCCUUCGUCGUUAAAUAAAACGUCUGAAAUAUGCAUUUACUAGUACUGUAACGCUGCAGUUCUCUCCUGCGUCCAGCAGAGCUGGGGUUGGCUUCUGAUUCAUGGUGUGGAGUCUUCGACGAUGUGGGGCGCAG